UACGUAGGUGGCAAGCGUUGUCCGGAUUUACUGGGCGUAAAGAGCGCGCAGGCGGUCGAUUUAGUCGCGUGUGAAAGCCCCCGGCUCAACUGGGGAGGGUCACGCGAUACUGAUCGACUCGAAGGCAGGAGAGGGUAGUGGAAUUCCUGGUGUAGCGGUGAAAUGCGCAGAUAUCAGGAGGAACACCGGUGGCGAAGGCGGGUCUCUGGGCCGUAACUGACGCUGAGGAGCGAAAGCGUGGGGAGCGAACAGG
rnacentral:rRNA from 1 species